AGAAAAGCAAAGUUGUUUUUAGACUUGAUAUGUCAGCUGUGUAUGAUCCACUGAUCUUCGGCACAGGAACAUAUCUGGAGGUAGAACCAAAAAGUCAGCCUCCUACCAAACCAUCUGUUUUCCUUAUGAAAAAUGGGACCAAAGUCGCUUGUCUGGUGAAGGAUUUCUAUCCCAAGGAUGUCAUUAUAAAUCUUGAAUCAUCCAAAAAGAUAACUGAAUUUGACCCUACUGUCGUCCUCGCUGCCAAUGGGAAGUACAGCGCCGUCAGGCUUGGUCAGUAUGAAGAUUCAGAUUCAGUGACAUGUUCAGUUCGACACAACAAUCAACUUGUGCAAUCCACUGACUUUGAAUUAAAGCCAACUUCUUCAGUGUUUGUUCCAGUUACUGUAGAAGCAACAAAACCUGAAGACAAACAGCAAAGUUCAGCGAGCUGCUAUGAACCCAAAGUGCAAGCCAGGAAGGUGAACAUGAUGUCUCUCACGCUGCUGGGGCUCAGAAUGCUGUUUGCCAAGAGUAUUGCCAUCAAUUUUCUCUUGACUGCCAAGUUACUUUUCUUAUAAGGAUGACUGGCAUGAGGAGGCUAUACUUCCUGAAAGCCUACAAAGAUGCUCUCUCCUAACUUCCACCUUCUCAGGGACUCAGGUUGGCCUGUCCCAGCCUAACUUAGAGGGCCACUGCCCAAAAUGGUUUUUCCUUGAAAGACACAAACCCUGCUACAGCAAUAACAGCUUCAUAGAAGGACAAAAAUCCUGGGAAGAAGGAGCUUACGAUCCUAACUGCAUUACUGCUACUUCAUAAAGGAUGUAGGACUCAUUUUUUUACUCCUACACUGAUAGACUUUGGAAAUGGGGUUUUGUUCCUUUUUUACUUUCUUUGCCUCCAGGGGUCAAUACAUUCUCCAAGAGCAAAACAGGUCCUGAGGGACAGAGAGCAUGUUUACCUGCCCAACCCAGUAAUAAAUUUGCCCCCAAACCACCAGUCUC